rnacentral:rRNA from 1 species
GUUAUAUGGUCAAGCGAAUAAGCGCACACGGUGGAUGCCUUGGCGGUCAGAGGCGAUGAAGGACGUGGCAGCCUGCGAAAAGUAUCGGGGAGCUGGCAACAAGCUUUGAUCCGGUAAUGUCCGAAUGGGGAAACCCACCCGCUUGCGGGUAUCCUGCAGUGAAUACAUAGCUGCUGGAAGCGAACCUGGUGAACUGAAAUAUCUAAGUAACCAGAGGAAAAGAAAUCAACCGAGAUUCCGUAAGUAGCGACGAGCGAACGCGGACUAGCCCUUAAGCUGAUUUGGUUCUAGGAAAACGCUCUGGAAAGAGCGGCCAUAGAAGGUGAUAGCCCUGUAUCUGAA